UUCAAUAUACCCGUGAAUAUCUCCAUGACCAAAGUGAAGAGGUAGGGAGACAUAGGGUCCCCUUGCCGAAUCCCUCUCCCGCUCGUGAAGA